AGCAGCCGCGGUAAUUCCAGCUCCAAUAGCGUAUAUUAAAGUUGUUGCAGUUAAAGCUCGUAGUUGAAUUUCGGGAUCAAUAUAUCGGUCGUGCCAUUGGUACGUACUGGUAUCAUUGGUUUCUCCUUUCUGACGAACCAUGAUGUCAUUAAUUUGGUGUUAUGGGAAGUUAGGACUGUUACUUUGAAAAAUUAGAGUGUUUAAAGCAGGCUUUAGCUUGAAUACAUUAGCAUGGAAUAAUGAAAUAGGACGUUCGAACCUAUUUGUUGGUUUCUAGGAUCAACGUAAUGAUUAAUAGGGAUAGUUGGGGGCAUUAGUAUUCAAUUGUCAGAGGUGAAAUUCUUGGAUUUAUUGAAGACUAACUACUGCGAAAGCAUUUGCCAAGGAUGUUUUCAUUAAUCAAGAACGAAAGUUAGGGGAUCGAAGACGAUCAGAUACCGUCGUAGUCUUAACCAUAAACUAUGCCGACUAGGGAUCGGAUGAUGUUAAUUUUUAAUGACUCAUUCGGCGCCUUACGGGA
rnacentral:rRNA from 1 species